rnacentral:sRNA from 1 species
UAGCAAAUUUUUCACAAAAGCGUGCGCGC